GACGAACGCUGGCGGCGUGCUUAACACAUGCAAGUCGAACGAAGUGGCGAACGGGUGAGUAACGCGUAAUCAACCUGCCCUUCAGAUGGGGACAACAGGUGGAAACGACUGCUAAUACCGCAUACUGAAGGAGGGGAUUGCGUCUGAUUAGCUAGUUGGAGGGGUAACGGCCCACCAAGGCGAUGAUCAGUAGCCGGUCUGGGAGGAUGAACGGCGACAGUGGGGCUGAGACACGGCCCAGACUCCUACGGGAGGAAGCAGGGGGGAAGCUUCCGCAAUGGACGAAAGUCUGACGGAGCAACGCCGCGGGAGUGAUGACGGCCUUGGGGUUGUAAAGCUCUGUUAGUCAGGACGCGGUACCGGAAUAGAAAGCCACGGCUAACUACGUGCCAGCAGCCGCGGUAAUAC
rnacentral:rRNA from 1 species